rnacentral:rRNA from 1 species
UUAAUUGAAGAGUUUGAUCAUGGCUCAGAUUGAACGCUGGCGGCAGGCCUAACACAUGCAAGUCGAGCGGCAGCACAGAGGAACUUGUUCCUUGGGUGGCGAGCGGCGGACGGGUGAGUAAUGCCUGGGAAAUUGCCCGGUAGAGGGGGAUAACCAUUGGAAACGAUGGCUAAUACCGCAUAACCUCGCAAGAGCAAAGCAGGGGACCUUCGGGCCUUGCGCUACCGGAUAUGCCCAGGUGGGAUUAGCUAGUUGGUGAGGUAAGGGCUCACCAAGGCGACGAUCCCUAGCUGGUCUGAGAGGAUGAUCAGCCACACUGGAACUGAGACACGGUCCAGACUCCUACGGGAGGCAGCAGUGGGGAAUAUUGCACAAUGGGCGCAAGCCUGAUGCAGCCAUGCCGCGUGUAUGAAGAAGGCCUUCGGGUU